AGUGAACGCUGGCGGCGUGCUUAAUACAUGCAAGUCGAACGAUGAAGUCCUAGCUUGCUAGGAUGGAUUAGUGGCGCACGGGUGAGUAAUAUAUAGUUAAUCUGCCUUGCACUGAGGAACAACAGUUGGAAACGAUUGCUAAUACCUCAUACUCCAACUUUACAUAAGUUAAGUUGGGAAAGUCUUUUCGGUGCAAGAUGAGACUAUAUCGUAUCAGCUAGUUGGUAAGGUAUGGCUUACCAAGGCUAUGACGCGUAACUGGUCUGAGAGGAUGAUCAGUCACAUUGGAACUGAGACACGGUCCAAACUCCUACGGGAGACAGCAGUAAGGAAUAUUGUGCAAUGGGGGAAACCCUGACGCAGCAACGCCGCGUGGAGGAUGACACUUUUCGGAGCGUAAACUCCUUUUGUUAGGGAAGAAUAAUGACGGUACCUAACGAAUAAGCACCGGCUAACUCCGUG
rnacentral:rRNA from 1 species